UCUUCCUUAGCUCAGUUGGUUUAGAGUGUCUGUCUUACAAACAGAAGGUCUUUGGUUCGAAUCCAAAAGGAAGAA
rnacentral:tRNA from 1 species